rnacentral:rRNA from 1 species
UACGUAGGUGGCAAGCAUUAUCCGGAUUUACUGGGCGUAAAGGGUGCGUAGGCGGAUUUUUAAGUGGGAUGUGAAAUACCUGGGCUUAACUUGGGUGCUGCAUUCCAAACUGGGAAUCUAGAGUGUGGGAGAGGAAAGUGGAAUUCCUAGUGUAGCGGUGAAAUGCGUAGAGAUUAGGAAGAAUAUCCGUGGCGAAGGCGGCUCUCUGGGACGGUACUGACGCUGAGACGCGAAAGCGUGGGGAGCGAACAGG